UCCCACCUGAUCCCAUCCCGAACUCAGAAGUGAAACGCAAUCGCGCCGAUGGUAGUGUGGGGUCUCCCCAUGUGAGAGUAGGUCAUCGCCAGAC
rnacentral:rRNA from 1 species